UCUUAUCAGUCAGUAAAGAAUCUGCCUGCAAUGCAGGAGACCCAGGUUCAAUUCCUGGGUUGAGAA
rnacentral:tRNA from 1 species